rnacentral:rRNA from 1 species
GACGAACGCUGGCGGCGUGCUUAACACAUGCAAGUCGAACGAUGAACUUGGAGCUUGCUCUGGGGAAUUAGUGGCGAACGGGUGAGUAACACGUGAGUAACCUGCCCUGGACUCUGGGAUAACUUCGAGAAAUCGGAGCUAAUACCGGAUAGGACCUUGCACCGCAUGGUGUGGGGUGGAAAGUUUUUCGGUUUGGGAUGGACUCGCGGCCUAUCAGCUUGUUGGUGAGGUAAUGGCUCACCAAGGCGUCGACGGGUAGCCGGCCUGGGAGGGUGACCGGCCACACUGGGACUGAGACACGGGCCAGACUCCUACGGGAGGCAGCAGUGGGGAAUAUUGCACAAUGGGCGCAAGCCUGAUGCAGCAACGCCGCGUGCGGGAUGACGGCCUUCGGGUUGUAAACCGCUUUUAGUAGGGAAGAAGCCUUCGGGUGACGGUACCUGCAGAAAAAGGACCGGCUAACUACGUGCCAGCCGCCGCAGUAACAC